AUAACGGGGGAAAAGAAACCAACAGGGAUUGCCCCAGUAACGGCGAGUGAAGCGCCAAGAGCUCAGAUUUGAAAUCGUGUUUCGGCACGAGUUGUAGAGUGUAGGCGGGAUUCUCUGUGGAGCGCGGUGUCCAAGUCCCUUGGAACAGGGUGCCUGAGAGGGUGAGAGCCCCGUAGGGUGCUGCGCGAAGCUUUUGAGGCCCUGCUGACGAGUCGAGUUGUUUGGGAAUGCAGCUCCAAGCGGGUGGUAAAUUCCAUCUAAGGCUAAAUAUUGGCGAGAGACCGAUAGCGAACAAGUACUGUGAAGGAAAGAUGAAAAGCACUUUGAAAAGAGAGUGAAACAGCACGUGAAAUUGUUGAAAGGGAAGGGUAUUGGGCUCGACAUGGGGGGUGCGCACCGCUGUCUCUUGUAGGCGGCGCUCUGGGCGCCCUCUGGGCCAGCAUCGGUUCCUGCUGCGGGAGAAGGGGCUCCGGAAAGUGGCUCUUCGGAGUGUUAUAGCCGGGGCCAGAUGCCGCGUGUGGGGACCGAGGACUGCGGCUUCUGUCUCGGAUGCUGGCA
rnacentral:rRNA from 1 species